rnacentral:rRNA from 1 species
ACGGGGUGCAGCAGGCGCGAAAACUUUACAAUGCUGGAAACAGCGAUAAGGGGACCUCGAGUGCCAGGUUACAAAUCUGGCUGUCGUGAUGCCUAAAAAGCAUUGCAUAGCAAGGGCCGGGCAAGACCGGUGCCAGCCGCCGCGGUAACACCGGCGGCUCGAGUGGUAACCGUUAUUAUUGGGUCUAAAGGGUCUGUAGCCGGCCGGAUAAGUCUCUUGGGAAAUCUGGCAGCUUAACUGUCAGGCUUUCAGGAGAUACUGUCUGGCUCGAGGCCGGGAGAGGUGAGAGGUACUUCAGGGGUAGGGGUGAAAUCUUGUAAUCCUUGAAGGACCACCAGUGGCGAAGGCGUCUCACCAGAACGGACCUGACGGCAAGGGACGAAAGCUAGGGGCACGAACCGGAUUAGAUACCCGGGUAGUCCUAGCCGUAAACGAUACUCGCUAGGUGUCGGCCACGGUGCGACCGUUGUCGGUGCCGUAGGGAAGCCGUGAAGCGAGCCACCUGGGAAGUACGGCCGCAAGGCUGAAACUUAAAGGAAUUGGCGGGGGAGCAC